rnacentral:lncRNA from 1 species
CAAAUCAUAUGUCGAUAUUACUGCGAAUCGGACGCCGCGUCGUCCGGAUGUUGCUGCACAUCAUUAUCAUGCUCUACGCCCUACAAAAGAAGGUGAUCACUACUGUUUCAAGAUGCCUACAGAGCUUCAUUUGAAGCAGAUUUCUGACCUUAAUCAUGCUUUGACGGGAAGGUUGUUGUUAAACAAAGGGGAGACGCCCAAGCCUG